rnacentral:rRNA from 1 species
UACGAAGGGUCCAAGCGUUAUCCGGAUUUAUUGGGUUUAAAGGGUGCGUAGGCGGCUUAUUAAGUCAGUGGUGAAAGACUUCAGCUUAACUGAAGAACUGCCAUUGAUACUGAUGAGCUUGAAUGUAGUUGAGGUGGGCGGAAUGUGUCAUGUAGCGGUGAAAUGCUUAGAUAUGACACAGAACACCGAUUGCGAAGGCAGCUCGCUAAACUAUGAUUGACGCUGAGGCACGAAAGCGUGGGGAGCAAACAGG